UCUUCUUUGCUUUCUUUCUUUCUUUCUUUCUUUCUUUCUGGUUCUUGGGGGUGGAGAGGAGCAAAGAGUGGAGAGAAAGCUUCGAAGAAGAGAAAGCGAAGAUGGGCCGCAGGCGCAAGAAGAGGAGCGGUGGCGGGGGCUCGUCAGCGGCGACGGCGAUCCCUCUCGAGGCGAUGGAGAUGGUGGAGAGACUGAAGGAGGUCGUGGACCUGCCGGACCACGAGAUCUACGCCGCGCUCAUGGAAUGUAAUAUGGACCCCGACGAUGCCGUCAACCGCCUCAUGACCCAAGUGUUUCUUUUGUCCUCCUUCUUUCACUGAGUGUGGGAGAAAGAGAAUUCUUGGAUGAAAGAAAGCCCUCCUGUUCCGUUUUUGAGCAUGGGGAGUGGUGGAAGGAUAAAGAGUGGUUCUUGGAGGAAAGAAAGCCCUCCUUCCCUUCAGGGGUUUGGGCAGUGGUGGAAGGAGAAAGAGAGCAUCUUGGAGGAAAGACAGCCGUCCUUUUGCGUUCUUGGGAUGGGUUGGUGAUGAAAGAGAGUCAAUUCGUUUUUAUCUAUUGUAGGAACUAUCUUUUAUGUCAUUCCUUUUGCUCA